rnacentral:misc_RNA from 1 species
CCGAGUUUACAACUCCCAAACCCAAUGUGAACGUUACCAAACUGUUGCCUCGGCGGGAUUUAUGCCCCGGGCGCGUCGCAGCCCCGGACCAAGGCGCCCGCCGGAGGACCAACCCAAAACUCUUUUGUAUACCCCCUCGCGGGUUUUUUUAUAUCUGAGCCUUCUCGGCGCCCCUAGUGGGCGUUUCGAAAAUGAAUCA